rnacentral:tRNA from 1 species
AUGCAUGGGGAAUGGUCGGGAUAGCUCA